AGAGUUUGAUCAUGGCUCAGGAUGAACGCUGGCGGUAUGCCUAACACAUGCAAGUCGAACGGGUAUCUUCGGAUAUUAGUGGCGGACGGGUGAGUAACGCGUGAGAAUCUGCCUUCAGGAUGGGGACAACAGUUGGAAACGACUGCUAAUACCCGAUAUGACGAAAGUUGAAAGAUUUAUCGCCUGGAGAUGAGCUCGCGUCAGAUUAGCUAGAUGGUGUGGUAAAGGCGCACCAUGGCGACGAUCUGUAGCUGGUCUGAGAGGAUGAGCAGCCACACUGGGACUGAGACACGGCCCAGACUCCUACGGGAGGCAGCAGUGGGGAAUUUUCCGCAAUGGGCGCAAGCCUGACGGAGCAAUACCGCGUGAGGGAGGAAGGCUCUUGGGUCGUAAACCUCUUUUCUCAGGGAAGAACAAAAUGACGGUACCUGAGAAUCAGCUCGAUUCGCCC
rnacentral:rRNA from 1 species